GGCACCGCCUGUAACUCGAUAGGUCGUUUUUUGGCGCAUUAAUUGGCCCCUCUGCCGCCCAGGGCCUCAUUUUUUUACAGUUGCCGUUGGAGGGAGGGAGGGAGGGCGUGAGUGCCGGGCUGGCUGGUGAUGACGAUGAUGGCCCGUGUUUACGUCCAGCCGCGACACGCGUGAGGCCGCCAACACUAGCGGCCCCACACCCUAACAGCCCCCUGACACACCCCAGAAGAAGACCUCCGGCCGUCUUGAGCUGAACGGGUCUGCUCCGCGAAGUAAUGGGUCGCCUUUAAUGGAUGCUGCUGGAUUAUUGUGAGGAAGCUGUUGUUGUGGGACGCCGUGCUUGUGAUCAGCUAAUCGACUGACUGGUUUGACUCACCCUUUCUGCCUGGACUUGCACGGAGUUGUGGCGGCUAACUGGUGAGCCAAACACACCUGAGACUUAUAAACAGUGGAGAUAUCUGGGUGAACUCUCUCCUCCCUUGCUCAGCUCACAUGCUGGUCAACUGGUGUCCGCUAGAUAUAGCUGUAUGCUUGAAUACUAUAGUCGGUUUCAUUUCAUCUGUUCAUCAACAAAGCGGAAAUUUUGAUAGAUGUGGCACCUGCGCAUAUCUACUUUGUGAAUACGUGAAAAUCAACUGUUGUGAUAGACAUUCAAGCUAAUUUUUUAAUAAUAUAUUUGAAUGUUUAUGUAUAAAAAAAUGUCCUUAUAAAUCCCAAACAUGCUGAUUUGCAUCAUCAUCACCAUCAUCAUCAUCAUUUAACGUCCAUUUAUUCCCUAUGGUGGGGUUGGACGGGAUAUAAGCCUCUUCCACUGUUGCCGGUCCAUAGCCAUUUCUUCCGUGAUAUUCAGCCUCCUCAUAUCUUCCUCCACCACCUUUCUCCACGUCUUCCUUGGCCUUCCUGGUGGUCUUCUGCAGCGAUAACAUACCAUACAAGCACACGAGGAGACAAGAUUACAUCAAACAGUAUUGUAAGAUCAUACUCGAACAAUCUGUGGUUUUCAAAUGCCUAUAAUUUAUCUCAUUUCAGGUACGUUAAAGACAUCUGGCUCAGCAAGUGCAAGUAAAGGGCAGUUUCAUAAUUUACUGCAUGUAUAUAAUGAUUAAUAUACAAAAUAGCAUGAAAUAUAAAUAAUAAUGGUUGAGUUCAAUGCCAAGCUAUUUUGAAUAUUUCCAAGUACGGUAUUUCGCGGCGUAUAGCGCGCACCUUUUUCACAUAACAAAGGCCUGAAAGUUUAGCCCUGCGCAUUAUACGCUGAAUGUACAAAUUUUUUAUGAUUUUUUUCUUCUUUGGGGUGUGUUUAACCCUUUUAUGGCUAAAUGCUCACAGCGAGCGUUAGGCAUAUUUGCUGGUGAUGCUAAACGCUCGCUGCGAGCUCCACCCGCACUCAAAUUUCCCGCGUAUGAGAGUGUUCCAACAAUAUUUCUCACAACACAGCAUUGCCAAUUGAGUGGGUUCUCCACUAAAUUUGGUGGAAAAUCAUGUCAGCCCAGCGCGGAAAAUCUACGGACGAGCAACUGGUGGAUGUUGUUGUCCAAUAUAGAGACAUUUUUGCAUAGCUUCACCUAUCACAUGAUUGAUAUUUUGACCAAAUAGUUGUAAAUUUUGCAGUUGGCAAUACUGCCCUGCCAGCACCCCAUCAUCAAGAGAUCUACAGUAGUUGCCUUACAGCUGACCGUUGCGCACGUAUAAAUGUACAUCUUCACAGGCAACACCCCCUGAACGUGCCUGUAGUUUCGCAGGAGUGGCUUACAUUACCGAAUCAUAUAGAUCUUGGACUCCUCUUUCCAAUGGUGUUUUUGUUUUUUAGCUGUGAUGAAUAGUUUUUGAGAUACAGCGGUUAAAAUAGCGAGCACUAGCGUCACUUGCUGGUGGUGCUAAAAGCUCACUGUGAGCGCCAGUCACCCUCACAGCAAAAAAUACCCCCUGAACGUACUUGUACGUUCGCAGGAGAGGCUUACAUAACCGAAUCUUAUAGAUCUUGGCCUCCUCUUUCCAAUGGUGUCUUUGUUUUGUAGCUGUAAUGAAUAGUUUUUGAGAUACAGUGGUUAAAAGAGAUUCCCUUCCCUCGCUGGAGUGCCCGACCGCGCCUGAGGGGAUAGUCUCGUUGCAAGCGCAUAGCAAUGAAAGGGUUAAGGGUCUGUUUUUCGUCUUAUCCAAUAACAACUGCAAACUUACCUUUAUUAUUGUUUAUGAUCCUUCAUAUUCCAUAGCUGUCUUAUAAUAUGUUACCAUAGAAUACAGGGUGAUCAAAUAACUACUAUACAAAAAUUAAAUCGGUAGAGGAUCGCCCAUGCCUUGCUGUUAUCCCGUUUUUCUGUCGGGCGCCAUUUGUAUGAUCUUGAUCUUGAUGUCACAGGAGGCUUAACCUGUACAGUGUUUAGUACGUACAUAUACGUACCUCUUAGGGGAGUGUUUAGUACGUAUACAUACGCAAGCACUUUUGAGGGCUUAUACGCCCUUUAUUUUUGUUUGUGUAUGUAACAUUGUUCAUUGACAGUAGAGAGGAAUAAUUUGACAAGUCUUCGUAUUUUUAAAUGGAUGUUAAAGGGCCUUUCUGUACAUUUGUCCGCAUUCCAACAAAAAUCAUUAUACAAGAAGGUAAGUUACUUUCUUCUAGGUAAUUACUCCUUGAUUCUAUAAUCAGUAAGGCAUGUGGAAUUGUAAAUUAUGGUUCAGAGUAAUAGGAAAUAAAAACUUAUCGUUGGAAGCAUCAUAGUGUUUUGUUGAGCUUUGUGAACUACGGUUGUAGUACAGACGGCCUUGAAGCGAGCGGUGUUGCCUGAUGCGCAUCCAACCAUUUUCUUGUACUUACAAUUCCUGUUUAUUUCUUUAGAUUUUUGUCAUGUAAAGAAGUACUUAUACAUUACUCACGCUUUAGGGGAGUGAGAAGUGUUUAUAAUGGAAAGAAUGUAGGCUCUAAAAAAAAUUAAAGAUAAAUUUCCCUUUUCUGGUAUGACAUCGUUAGCUCUGAGACGGAGAAAAAUAAGACAACGAACAAUCUAGGGUUCCAUUCCUCGCAUAUAAAUAAUAAAUAUAUAUCAAAUAAUUUGUAAUUUUUUUUAACAUUUUUGGGGCAAAUAAAAAAAUACGAAAAAAGUGCAACCUGGCAUGACCCCUAUCGAUGACAAAAGACGACACUGUACGAGUUAAGAUUGUAUGACUAAGGAGCAGUACAAGCCACAUAAAAAAUCAUAUUGGAAAAAAAUAUCCAUGUGUUCAUUAUUAAUUAUUAAUAUUAGUGAGAAUAAUGGGGUUAAUAUGACAUCAGAAACUGUACAUCAUGAGUCUUGUACGAGGAGUCAUUUCACGCCCGGCCUCCAUUUGCAUUGUUUGAAAACCACACAACCACACCCACACAACAAACAGCUGCAUGCCGCAUUGUCUUGCCUAGUUGUCUGUCAUAACCCUCGAGUGAUAGUGGGAAUAAUAUGCUAAUUAUGAUAUCAGAAGCUGUGCAUCAUCAGUAUGUACGAGGAUGUAUUUCUCACAACACCAGCCCGGCCGCCAUUUUCACCGCUUUACUCAAGGACACUUGUCAAUUCAAGCAGUACAGAUUACGCCCAAAAUAUAUAAAUUUUGGUAAACUCUACAUCGUCAAUGUUUUUUAACCCGUACAUAUUUCUGAGCAUUUUCAGAACUUUUUUUUUUUCCGAAUUUUUUGUCUUAAAGUUUGGGGUGCGCGAAUAUACGCCGCGAGAUACGGUAUGUUAUUUACAAGUAACAAAUUAUCAAAAUUCCUUAUGUAUAGGCACUUGCAGAACCAGAUGUCUUUUUAUGUACCAGCAGUGAGUUGAAUUAUAGGUAUUUGAGAGGCUGUAAAUGAGUUGAAUUAUAGGUAUUUGAAAGGCUGUAAAUGAGUUGAAUUAUAGGUAUUUGAAAGGCUGUAAAUGAGUUGAAUUAUAGGUAUUUGAAAGCCUGUAAAUGAGUUGAAUUAUAGGUAUUUGAAAGGCUGUAAAUGAGUUGAAUUAUAGGUAUUUGAAAGGCUGUAAAUGAGUUGAAUUAUAGGUAUUUGAAAGGCUGUAAAUGAGUUGAAUUAUAGGUAUUUGAAAGGCUGUAAAUGAGUUGAAUGAUAGGUAUUUGAAAGGCUGUAAAUGAGUUGAAUUAUAGGUAUUUGAAAGGCUGUAAAUGAGUUGAAUUAUAGGUAUUUGAGAGGCUGUAAAUGAGUUGAAUUAUAGGUAUUUGAAAGGCUGUAAAUGAGUUGAAUGAUAGGUAUUUGAGAGGCUGUAAAUGAGUUGAAUUAUAGGUAUUUGAAAGGCUGUAAAUGAGUUGAAUGAUAGGUAUUUGAAAGGCUGUAAAUGAGUUGAAUGAUAGGUAUUUGAAAGGCUGUAAAUGAGUUGAAUUAUAGGUAUUUGAAAGGCUGUAAAUGAGUUGAAUUAUAGGUAUUUGAAAGGCUGUAAAUGAGUUGAAUUAUAGGUAUUUGAAAGGCUGUAAAUGAGUUGAAUUAUAGGUAU